rnacentral:rRNA from 1 species
UACGUAGGGUGCGAGCGUUAAUCGGAAUUACUGGGCGUAAAGCGUGCGCAGGCGGUGAUGUAAGACAGAUGUGAAAUCCCCCGGGCUCAACCUGGGACCUGCAUUUGUGACUGCAUCGCUAGAGUACGGCAGAGGGGGAUGGAAUUCCGCGUGUAGCAGUGAAAUGCGUAGAGAUGUGGAGGAAUACCGAUGGCGAAGGCAGCCCCCUGGGAUAACACUGACGCUCAUGCACGAAAGCGUGGGGAGCAAACAGG